GCAGGCAAACGCGACGGCGAAGGACGACGAGAACAAGGAGGACGCAGAUGUUCCAGCGUGUUACCGUACUCGAGGCGGAAGUCGUGCGACCGGAUACCGAUAGUGAGCCUUCUGGCUCGUAAAAAGUGCACAUUCGGCCGAUAAAGGCAAAUCACGCUGCAGAAAAGUGUCAUCGUUCUCAAGAAGCUACAAGUCGAAAAGGAAGGAAAAAUUGUCGCACCCCGGCAAUUUUCCCCGCCGUUUCCGAGUCAUCUCAGAAUGGCGCGUCCACGUGAAAUGCGACGAGGAGUGUCGCUGCGGUACGGUGAGAGAUAUCGUAAAAGCAUGCCGCUCGUACAAAUUGGAACGGCCGUAAAAUCGAUUUACAAGCAUAAGAUUAACGGCGCGAGUCCUCGUGGGACGAUACACAUCACGUAACGUAAUCGUAAACAGAAAUAUCUCCUAAAGAAACUCUCAAUUUUCUUUUUUUAUUUGUUUCCUCCGAACGGAGUACAAAUUCCAGCUCUCUUAGAAAUCACGACGCGCUGUCAAGACCGUUUCCUCGCGCGAGACGGGGGUUGACAUCCGUUAGAGAAGAUACGGGGAUCUCGUCUCGGCGUGGUAUGUCGAGAUACCGCGCGGCCGAUUUGAUUUUUAUCGAGCGACAAGAGAGAAUUUAAACGUCAGACGUCGCGACGGCAGGGACGCCGCAUGGAGAAGCAGACGGAUCGCGCCAGAUUCGUAGAAGAAAACGCCACGGCCGACAUUCAUACGAGCUCUCGCUCUGCGAGUCACCGUUGCUUGUUUAACGUAAGGACACGUGGAAUUCUUCGUUUAAACGUAUCCUGCCCGUGUAUUCGGCAGUUCGUCAAUUGGUGAAAGUUUGUCACUCAUUGCGUUCUCUUCAUCUCAUUUCGGGCCUCAUUACUUAAAUUCCAAGGCCUUUAUUCUGAACUGUCUCACUGAGAGAAAUGGCUUGGUGAAUGACACUAUACUCGUCUUAUGAAAGUAAUAUGGUGAAUACAUAUGCGAUAUCUGGUUCACAUAUCCAAUAUUCUGAUUACGAUGCCUCGACGCAUCUGUCAAU